rnacentral:rRNA from 1 species
AGGGAUGCCUUUCGUAACGGCGAAGUGAAGCGGCAACAGCUCCAAAUUUGAAAUCUGGCUCCUUUUAGGGUCCGUAGUUGUAAUUUGCAGAGGGCGCUUUGGCUUUGGCAGCGGUCCAAGUUCCUUGGAACAGGACGUCACAGAGGGUGAGAAUCCCGUACGUGGUCGCUAGCUAUUGCCGUGUAAAGCCCCUUCGACGAGUCGAGUUGUUUGGGAAUGCAGCUCUAAAUGGGAGGUAAAUUUCUUCUAAAGCUAAAUAUUGGCCAGAGACCGAUAGCGCACAAGUAGAGUGAUCGAAAGAUGAAAAGCACUUUGGAAAGAGAGUCAAACAGCACGUGAAAUUGUUGAAAGGGAAGCGCUUGCAGCCAGACUUGCUUGCAGUUGCUCAUCCGGGCUUUUGCCCGGUGCACUCUUCUGCAGGCAGGCCAGCAUCAGUUUGGGCGGUGGGAUAAAGGUCUCUGACACGUUCCUUCCUUCGGGUUGGCCAUAUAGGGGAGACGUCAUACCACCAGCCUGGACUGAGGUCCGCGCAUCUGCUAGGAUGCUGGCGUAAUGGCUGUAAGCGGCCCGUCUUGAAACACGGACCAAGGAGUCUAACAUCUAUGCGAGUGUUUGGGUGUCAAGCCCGAGCGCGUAAUGAAAGUGAACGGAGGUGGGAACCCGCAAGGGCGCACCAUCGACCGAUCCCUGAAGUUUACGGAAGGAUUUGAGUAAGAGCAUGGCUGUUGGGACCCGAAAGAUGGUGAACUAUGCUUGAAUAGGGUGAAGCCAGAGGAAACUCUGGUGGAGGCUCGCAGCGGUUCUGACGUGCAAAUCGAUCGUCAAAUUUGGGCAUAGGGCGAAAGACUAAUCGAACUAUCUAGUAGCUGGUCUG